AGCGUACACGGUGGAUGCCCUGGCAGUCAGAGGCGAUGAAGGACGUGCUAAUCUGCGAUAAGCGUCGGUAAGGUGAUAUGAACCGUUAUAACCGGCGAUUUCCGAAUGGGGAAACCCAGUGUGUUUCGACACACUAUCAUUAACUGAAUCCAUAGGUUAAUGAGGCGAACCGGGGGAACUGAAACAUCUAAGUACCCCGAGGAAAAGAAAUCAACCGAGAUUCCCCCAGUAGCGGCGAGCGAACGGGGAGCAGCCCAGAGCCUGAAUCAGUGUGUGUGUUAGUGGAAGCGUCUGGAAAGGCGCGCGAUACAGGGUGACAGCCCCGUACACAAAAAUGCACAUGCUGUGAGCUCGAUGAGUAGGGCGGGACACGUGGUAUCCUGUCUGAAUAUGGGGGGACCAUCCUCCAAGGCUAAAUACUCCUGACUGACCGAUAGUGAACCAGUACCGUGAGGGAAAGGCGAAAAGAACCCCGGCGAGGGGAGUGAAAAAGAACCUGAAACCGUGUACGUACAAGCAGUGGGAGCACGCUUAGGCGUGUGACUGCGUACCUUUUGUAUAAUGGGUCAGCGACUUAUAUUCUGUAGCAAGGUUAACCGAAUAGGGGAGCCGAAGGGAAACCGAGUCUUAACUGGGCGUUAAGUUGCAGGGUAUAGACCCGAAACCCGGUGAUCUAGCCAUGGGCAGGUUGAAGGUUGGGUAACACUAACUGGAGGACCGAACCGACUAAUGUUGAAAAAUUAGCGGAUGACUUGUGGCUGGGGGUGAAAGGCCAAUCAAACCGGGAGAUAGCUGGUUCUCCCCGAAAGCUAUUUAGGUAGCGCCUCGUGAAUUCAUCUCCGGGGGUAGAGCACUGUUUCGGCAAGGGGGUCAUCCCGACUUACCAACCCGAUGCAAACUGCGAAUACCGGAGAAUGUUAUCACGGGAGACACACGGCGGGUGCUAACGUCCGUCGUGAAGAGGGAAACAACCCAGACCGCCAGCUAAGGUCCCAAAGUCAUGGUUAAGUGGGAAACGAUGUGGGAAGGCCCAGACAGCCAGGAUGUUGGCUUAGAAGCAGCCAUCAUUUAAAGAAAGCGUAAUAGCUCACUGGUCGAGUCGGCCUGCGCGGAAGAUGUAACGGGGCUAAACCAUGCACCGAAGCUGCGGCAGCGACACUAUGUNGCUCACUGGUCGAGUCGGCCUGCGCGGAAGAUGUAACGGGGCUAAACCAUGCACCGAAGCUGCGGCAGCGACGCUUAUGCGUUGUUGGGUAGGGGAGCGUUCUGUAAGCCUGUGAAGGUGUGCUGUGAGGUAUGCUGGAGGUAUCAGAAGUGCGAAUGCUGACAUAAGUAACGAUAAAGCGGGUGAAAAGCCCGCUCGCCGGAAGACCAAGGGUUCCUGUCCAACGUUAAUCGGGGCAGGGUGAGUCGACCCCUAAGGCGAGGCCGAAAGGCGUAGUCGAUGGGAAACAGGUUAAUAUUCCUGUACUUGGUGUUACUGCGAAGGGGGGACGGAGAAGGCUAUGUUGGCCGGGCGACGGUUGUCCCGGUUUAAGCGUGUAGGCUGGUUUUCCAGGCAAAUCCGGAAAAUCAAGGCUGAGGCGUGAUGACGAGGCACUACGGUGCUGAAGCAACAAAUGCCCUGCUUCCAGGAAAAGCCUCUAAGCAUCAGGUAACAUCAAAUCGUACCCCAAACCGACACAGGUGGUCAGGUAGAGAAUACCAAGGCGCUUGAGAGAACUCGGGUGAAGGAACUAGGCAAAAUGGUGCCGUAACUUCGGGAGAAGGCACGCUGAUAUGUAGGUGAAGUCCCUCGCGGAUGGAGCUGAAAUCAGUCGAAGAUACCAGCUGGCUGCAACUGUUUAUUAAAAACACAGCACUGUGCAAACACGAAAGUGGACGUAUACGGUGUGACGCCUGCCCGGUGCCGGAAGGUUAAUUGAUGGGGUCAGCGCAAGCGAAGCUCUUGAUCGAAGCCCCGGUAAACGGCGGCCGUAACUAUAACGGUCCUAAGGUAGCGAAAUUCCUUGUCGGGUAAGUUCCGACCUGCACGAAUGGCGUAAUGAUGGCCAGGCUGUCUCCACCCGAGACUCAGUGAAAUUGAACUCGCUGUGAAGAUGCAGUGUACCCGCGGCAAGACGGAAAGACCCCGUGAACCUUUACUAUAGCUUGACACUGAACAUUGAGCCUUGAUGUGUAGGAUAGGUGGGAGGCUUUGAAGUGUGGACGCCAGUCUGCAUGGAGCCGACCUUGAAAUACCACCCUUUAAUGUUUGAUGUUCUAACGUUGACCCGUGAUCCGGGUUGCGGACAGUGUCUGGUGGGUAGUUUGACUGGGGCGGUCUCCUCCUAAAGAGUAACGGAGGAGCACGAAGGUUGGCUAAUCCUGGUCGGACAUCAGGAGGUUAGUGCAAUGGCAUAAGCCAGCUUGACUGCGAGCGUGACGGCGCGAGCAGGUGCGAAAGCAGGUCAUAGUGAUCCGGUGGUUCUGAAUGGAAGGGCCAUCGCUCAACGGAUAAAAGGUACUCCGGGGAUAACAGGCUGAUACCGCCCAAGAGUUCAUAUCGACGGCGGUGUUUGGCACCUCGAUGUCGGCUCAUCACAUCCUGGGGCUGAAGUAGGUCCCAAGGGUAUGGCUGUUCGCCAUUUAAAGUGGUACGCGAGCUGGGUUUAGAACGUCGUGAGACAGUUCGGUCCCUAUCUGCCGUGGGCGCUGGAGAACUGAGGGGGGCUGCUCCUAGUACGAGAGGACCGGAGUGGACGCAUC
rnacentral:rRNA from 1 species